rnacentral:misc_RNA from 1 species
GUAGGUGAACCUGCGGAAGGAUCAUUAUUGAGUCUUAGUACUUAAAAAUUGUAACAUAAUUUAAAAAUGGCUAAAUGCCUACUUUAUUACUUUGUGAAAUAUUAUACCAUUUUUAUCACUAGUGUAACAGCUUUUUUUACUUUAUUAAAUUAAAUAAAACAACUGUUAGCAACGGAUCACUUGGUUCUCGCAUCGAUGAAGAACGCAGCAUCUGACUGACUUACGACUU